AGAGAUGACCGUUCGGGUAGAUGAAAAGGGUUAUAAAACCCUUUUACUUCGGUUUUUACCUAAAACCCGAAGUUAAAGGUCCAUAAGUGUAUAAUAGUUGUGCACAUUUAACUUCGGUUUUUAGGUAAAAACCGAAGUGGAAAGUUCACUUUCUACUUCGAUUUUUACCUAAAAACCAAAGUUAAAGGUGCACAA